CAGCUGGCCAGCAAGCGCCGGGCGCAGCCGCGGUUCCCGCUCGCGCCUCUCCCUCCACACCUCCCUGCAAGCUGAGGGAGCCGGCUCUGGCCUUGGCCAGCCCAGAAAGGGGCUCCCACAGUGCAGCGGUGGGCUGAAGGGCCCCUCAAGUGCCGCCAAAGUGGGAGCCCAGGCAGAGGAGGCGCCGAGAGCAAGCGAGGGCUGUGAGGACUGCCAGCACACUGUCACCUCUUACUACUUUCCCAUAAAUUCUUUGGCAUAUGAAGAAAGGGAAAGAGAGAGAAAGAAGAAAAGAAAGGGACAAAAGAGGGAAGAGAGGAAAAGAGGAAAACAUCAACACAGAAGCAGAAAGGGUCCUCUCCCCAUGGCCACCGCAGCUAGGAAUAUGCGGAGUCACACUUGAAGCCAGCACAGCACUGGGUCACACCCAAGGCUUGCAAUGACUGAAAUCACAAGAAGCAAAACUGUGGAUGAGAGCAAGUACAUUAAUAUAUUUUGUCACCUUCAAACAAAGUUGCUCUUCCGAGCACUGAAGCAAAGCAUGUCCUGGCUCAAAAGGCCCUCAUUUAAAACCACAGCUACAGUCCGGUCUCAUGAAGAUGCUCGGCUGCUUGAGCGACCUUUCUUUAUAUUUCAUAAGUUCAUCUUUGCCUCAAAGACUGGUUUCUCAUUGGUGAAAUUAAAGCUUGAAGUGGCUCUUCUCCAAAGAUCCUUUUACAAUUUUACUUGCUGGCAAAUAUUCUCAAACAAAUGUCUUCAGGAAAAAUUGCCAGCUUAAGAGAUUCCUGACACUUCUAAAGCCAUUUCAAAGCAAUUGUUGUGGAAAAAAAUGUUGAUGCCGCUUGGAGAGCAGAAAUUGUUAUUAGUUUUUUGUAUUCAUCACUAUACCCUCAGUGUUUAGGACACUACUCUUGGGUGCUAAAUAGAUGUUUCAAGUUAGAGGAAUCUAUUUCUUCGAGUCUCUUGCCAGAAGAAUUCUUGUUUCCAUUCAGAUUUUCUAUCAAGAAUUUGCAGUG
rnacentral:lncRNA from 1 species